rnacentral:rRNA from 1 species
GACCUACGGGUGAAAGCGGGGGAUCGAAAGACCUCGCGCUAUUGGAGCGGCCGAUGUCAGAUUAGCUAGUUGGUGGGGUAAAAGCCUACCAAGGCGACGAUCUGUAGCUGGUCUGAGAGGACGACCAGCCACACUGGGACUGAGACACGCCCCAGACUCCUACGGGAGGCAGCAGUGGGGAAUUUUGGACAAUGGGGGCAACCCUGAUCCAGCCAUGCCGCGUGCGGGAAGAAGGCCUUCGGGUUGUAAACCGCUUUUGUCGGGGAAGAAAAGGUACGCGCUAAUACCGCGGACUAAUGACGGUACCCGAAGAAUAAGCACCGGCUAACUACGUGCCAGCAGCCGCGGUAAUACGUAGGGUGCAAGCGUUAAUCGGAAUUACUGGGCGUAAAGCGUGCGCAGGCGGCUUUGCAAGACAGAUGUGAAAUCCCCGGGCUCAACCUGGGAGCUGCAUUUGUGACUGCAUGGCUAGAGUGCGGCAGAGGGGGAUGGAAUUCCGCGUGUAGCAGUGAAAUGCGUAGAUAUGCGGAGGAACACCGAUGGCGAAGGCAAUCCCCUGGGCCUGCACUGACGCUCAUGCACGAAAGCGUGGGGAGCAAACAGGAUUAGAUACCCUGGUAGUCCACGCCCUAAACGAUGUCAACUGGUUGUUGGACGGCUUGCUGUUCAGUAACGAAGCUAACGCGUGAAGUUGACCGCCUGGGGAGUACGGCCGCAAGGUUGAAACUCAAAGGAAUUGACGGGGACCCGCACAAGCGGUGGAUGAUGUGGUUUAAUUCGAUGCAACGCGAAAAACCUUACCUACCCUUGACAUGCCAGGAACUUACCAGAGAUGGUUUGGUGCUCGAAAGAGAGCCUGGACACAGGUGCUGCAUGGCCGUCGUCAGCUCGUGCCGUGAGAUGUUGGGUUAAGUCCCGCAACGAGCGCAACCCUUAUCAUUAGUUGCUACGCAAGGGCACUCUAAUGAGACUGCCGGUGACAAACCGGAGGAAGGUGGGGAUGACGUCAGGUCAUCAUGGCCCUUAUGGGUAGGGCUACACACGUCAUACAAUGGCCGGUACAGAGGGCUGCCAACCCGCGAGGGGGAGCUAAUCUCAGAAAACCGGUCGUAGUCCGGAUCGCAGUCUGCAACUCGACUGCGUGAAGUCGGAAUCGCUAGUAAUCGCGGAUCAGCUUGCCGCGGUGAAUACGUUCCCGGGUCUUGUACACACCGCCCGUCACACCAUGGGAGCGGGUUCUGCCAGAAGUAGUUAGCCUAACCGUAAGGAGGGCGAUUACCACGGCAGGGUUCGUGACUGGGGUGAAGUCGUAACAAGGUA